UUAAUUUGAGAGUUUGAUCCUGGCUCAGGACGAACGCUGGCGGCGUGCCUAAUACAUGCAAGUCGAACGAACUCUGGUAUUGAUUGGUGCUUGCAUCAUGAUUUACAUUUGAGUGAGUGGCGAACUGGUGAGUAACACGUGGGAAACCUGCCCAGAAGCGGGGGAUAACACCUGGAAACAGAUGCUAAUACCGCAUAACAACUUGGACCGCAUGGUCCGAGUUUGAAAGAUGGCUUCGGCUAUCACUUUUGGAUGGUCCCGCGGCGUAUUAGCUAGAUGGUGGGGUAACGGCUCACCAUGGCAAUGAUACGUAGCCGACCUGAGAGGGUAAUCGGCCACAUUGGGACUGAGACACGGCCCAAACUCCUACGGGAGGCAGCAGUAGGGAAUCUUCCACAAUGGACGAAAGUCUGAUGGAGCAACGCCGCGUGAGUGAAGAAGGGUUUCGGCUCGUAAAACUCUGUUGUUAAAGAAGAACAUAUCUGAGAGUAACUGUUCAGGUAUUGACGG
rnacentral:rRNA from 1 species